CGGGGUAUAGCGCAGUUUGGUAGCGCGCCUGCCUUGGGAGCAGGAGGCCGGGGGUUCAAAUCCCUCUGCCCCGACCA
rnacentral:tRNA from 18 species